rnacentral:misc_RNA from 1 species
AUAAUCGACCCUGGCCGGCAGCAAAUAUAAUUGCUUGACGGAAAGUUGAAGAACUAGUGAGCGGGACAGCUUGUUGCAAGCAAAAACAGUCACAGUCACUCCUGCAAAACUAUAUAAUGGCUGAGCCGGUCUACCCUAGCCUAGAGGAGGGAGGAAAUAAGCCCAUUGGAUUCGAAGGCAUCAUCGAAUCUACUCCAGAGCCUGAGCGCGUUAGAGUAGAUGACAAGAGACUAACCUCAGGCAGCAAUGCGCCUGCAGCUGAAGAGAUCCAGCUAUUAACAUCUGAAGAGCGAAAGCAAGAAAGAGACACCGAAGACCAAGAUACAGUCUAUUUUAAAGAUGGAGUCAGGAAGAUUGAUAUUUGCUUGACCUACAAGGAUCUCAUUGAUGCAAAGAAAGGCAAAGGGGAUGAAGAAGCAAGGAAGAAGAGUAGUGCAAAGAGAGCCGAUAAGAGGAAGGCUUAUUUCGAGGCCCUUGAACGGAAAGGACUUCAAUUUGAAUACCAGGAUCCUAAAUAUUAUGAUGGUGAAACCUGGUUUGUAAAAGUCCAUGCAACUUUCCCAGCACUUGAGAAAGGAGCUGAAGAUCUUCUCAUCCGAAUGCCAAUACAAGAAGUGGAUCUUCCUCGUAGAGAGAAGUCCUGGUACAGGGACAUCUUUAGUACACUUCACAUUCGUGAUCCUUUUGAGUUUUUUGAUCCUAAAGUACCAAAGCCGUUCCAGCACGCCGACUUCUUUACUGCUCCUUAUGUUGCAAAAAAGAGAGCAAAUUUCCAUGGGUCUGAUGAUGAAGCCAACUUCUUUAGUUCCGCUCAAAGAUCCUUUAUUGUAUGGAAUAUACUGGAGAACACUCAGUAUGGUCCCAAUGAAGAUCAAGUUGGUGUAUCUCGCCUUGUUCAAAACAGCACUUUCACGUCUGCUUUCUUCCUUCAUGAUGGUGACUUCACUAAGAAGAAUCCUGAAGAUGAAAUUGACAAUGAGAGGCAGUUGCUUCACUAUGAGUGGUCACACCCUAAGAACUUUUAUAAGUAUCAACCACUGGAAAACAUACGUCAUUAUUUUGGUGAGAAGAUUGGUCUCUAUUUUGCUUGGGUUGGUUUCUACACCAGUUGGCUUGGCUUUGCCUCCAUUGUUGGUAUAAUUGUUAUGAUUGCUGGACUGUUCACUUUAUCCCUUAACUACAAUGAACUGGCUCGUGAUAUUUGUAAUGAUACCCUUCGUGCUGAAUUCUACAUGUGUCCCCUUUGUGACGAGACUUGUGAUUUCUGGUACUAUCGAUCGGCCUGUGGAUUUGCUCGUGUUUCGUUAUUAUUUGAUUAUGGAGGAACAGUGUUCUUUGCUGCCUUCAUGGCCUGCUACGCUGUGUUGUUUCUCGAGUUUUGGAAGAGGACAGAGAAGCAGUUACAGUAUCAGUGGGACACUCUUGGAUUUGAGGAAGCUGAGCAAAGGGAGAGACCCGAGUUUGUUCAAGCAAUUAAAAAGAAGAUCAAGAACUAUCCAGAAGAGAAGAAGAAGCAGUACAAGAUAAAGAACCCUGUCCUUGAGCGUUACGAAUACAUCCAACCAGCAUUUGACAUUGCCCCUAAGCUAGUGCUAGGUUUUGUGAUCCUCAUUACCAUGGUGAUAGCUGUUUUGGGUGUGGUCUUUGCCGUUCUUAUUUAUCGUCUUGCUGUAUCAACCUCAAUCUACCGUCUUGUUCAGAAUCUACCAGGUGGCCCGAGCGUUGCUGAUUUAACCGUCUCUAUCACAGGAUCUCUGAUCCAGCUCGUGUUUAUUGUGAUCAUGAAUCAAGUAUACGAGAGAUUAGCAACCUGGUUGACAUCAUGGGAAUUGCAUCGUACUACCACCGAGUAUGAGGACUCCUUCACAUUCAAGAUGUAUUUGUUCCAAUUCAUUAACUUUUACACGUCGAUAUUCUACAUUGCAUUCAUCAAGGGAAAAUUCACUGGAUACCCAGGUGGAUAUGACAGGAUUGGAUCACUGCGUUUGGAUGAAUGCUCUGCUUAUGGGUGCCUACUGGAAUUAACUAUACAGCUAGCAAUCAUUUUCCUUGGUAAACAAGUUCUCAAUGAUAUAUCUGAGCUCGGAGUACCUUAUGCUAAGACUAUUCUUAAGAAGGUCAUGAGGUAUCGCAAAGAGAAAGGGAAGGAUACUGAGGAAGAUGACUCGUUUGUGCGCUGGGAAAAGGAUUUUGAACUAAUACCACUCUCUAUACACGGACUGUUCUUUGAAUACCUUGAGCUAGUUAUUCAGUAUGGAUUCGUUACUAUCUUUGUUGCUGCUUUCCCUCUUGCUCCAUUCUUUGCAUGGGUCAACAACGUCAUUGAGAUACGUCUUGACGCUCACAAAUUCAUUCAAGUCUUCCGUCGUCCGCUCGCCGAGAGAGCACAGGACAUUGGACUCUGGUUCCACCUCCUUCGCUUUGUGACUAACCUCAGUGUAGUCACCAAUGCAUUGCUUAUUGCUUUUACCUCACAGUUCAUUGACCGGGAACUGUUUGAUAGGGUUUAUAAGAAUGAACCUGAGUUCAAUAGUGGAAGAGGUGGAUUUGUACGUUGGGCUACUUCUAGCUUUAGUCUGACGGCUCUUCUUCAAUCUGCUACUCCCAAUGGGGACACUAAUUUCCCUGUAUACACUGCACAGUCUUUGCUGGCGUUUGAUGGCGAUGGAAAUGAAGUGACCGUUAAUGGUCAAGAUCAGCUCUAUCUUCCAUUUAUUGAUUUUGAUUGUGUUGCUAGAGAGUCGGAUGGCCGUUUUAACGCUACCAGUGUCGACUUAGACACAUAUAGGACUUUCUAUGAAAAUCGAAUUUUCAGGAAUUUAACUUUGAAUAUAGCUAGUGACAGGACUAAUGAGAACAGUGAGGACUUUACCUCAAACAUAAGAGCCGAUUAUGGAAUUUGUUUUAAUACUUCAGCAACUUGUCGUUUCCGUGGUCAGGUUGAUCCUGAUGGCGAAUUUCCACUGGAAUAUUGGAGACUAAUCACAGUCAAACUAUCAUUCGUUAUAGUCUUUGAACAUUUCAUAUUUAUACUUGGUAUAUUGCUGGAUUGGCUUGUUCCUGAUAUCCCUAAGAGUGUGGAGGAUGAGAUAAGGAGAGAGAAGCUCCUUGCAUCUAAACUAGCCCAGCAGGCCAAGGAAGAGGACGCCAGAGGUGAUCGUGAUAGGACCUACACUGAAGCCUCGCUCUCUGCUGCACCUUGAGUGAUCGAUACAAGGCUAGUGACAUUGAGAAAUUAUUAUUAUUAUUAUUAUUAUUAUUAUUAUUAUUAUUAUUAUUAUUAUUAUUAUUAUUAUUGUGUGCCUGUGUUUCCCUUGAAUUAGUUAUUAGUUAGAGACAGAUA